rnacentral:tRNA from 3 species
GGGCGGUUAGCUCAGUUGGGAGAGCACCUGCCUUACAAGCAGGGGGUCACUGGUUCGAGCCCAGUACCGCCCA